rnacentral:rRNA from 1 species
AUGGUCGAGGGGAAAAGUGUUCAAGUUGACGUCGAGAAAGGACUUAAUCAAAUGCCUAAUGAUAGCAAUUCAACUAGCCCUGCAACUAUGCAGAAGAUGAAACCUGAUAUGGAUGAUUCUGGGAGAAGAACUGAAUCACCAACUCCAGAGAAGCCUGAGUCUGGAAGGGAGGAGAUUGUUGUCAGCUCAUUGGCAACUAAUUUACUUUCAGAGAGGUACAAGGACAGAUUAGCUGAGAAGCUGUUGGGAAAUGAGGAUGAAACAGACGAUGAAGAUGAUAAUGAAUUUGCUUUGCCUGAUGGCAGCCAAUCUCCAGUUUCAAAUGAACUUCUUGAGAAACACAAGAAUUUGCUUACUCUUUUCAACCGGAUGGAGAGUUCUAUAAGGUUGCUGCGCCUGAGGAAGAAGAUGACUACAUUUACCAACAUUGCAACCCAGGUGGAAGUACUCACUAAGAGAAAGUUCUUGUACUCUCAUUUGGCCCAGAUGAAGCAUUUAUUCCCAGAAGCAAUCCAGAUAAAUAGGAUACUCUUGCAUGAUCAGAAAAGCCUAUGCAUGUAUGCUGACAUGGAAAUUACACUUCUGAAGGACGCUGUGGAAUGUAGUAAUCCUCAAGAGUCUCCAGCCAUUGCAAUUUGUGAGGCUUUUCGCUCAAAGCUUUUAUGCUUCUUGGGAUCUCAUCAUAAGGAUAUCGAUGUUCCUGAGGCCACACUACCAGAACCCUUUAAUUUAAGGGAGGGGCUAUAUCUUGAUGCACUGCAUAAUGGCCAUUCUGCUGAAGGAGUUCUUGAAUUUUCCUUGGAAAAUGGAUUUUCAAAUGCUUCUCACUUCCCACAAUCUUUUCAAAAACUUAUGUCCCAGAAGAGUAUUACUAAAGUUACUGAAAAGACUCGACUACUUUCUGAUCCAGUAGAAGUGACCUCCCUGGGUGCUGAUGAUACCGGAGGUCCAGAUAGAAGCUCUAACAAGCAUGUCUCGGUUCCAGUCAGUACCAAUAUUUCUGAUACUCCAAGCCGCCGUUUGAUCUCUUUCUGUGAAAACAGUACACCAAAGCAAGGCAUCUCAAAUUCACCAUCGAUGGCUGAAACACCGGCAAUGCAGACACCAAAAAGGCCAUUGCCCACUCUAGUUGCGAAACAUGAAACCUCAAGUAGACCUGGCUCUGAACCACGAUCUACCAAUUCAGCCCGCAGAUCACUAAUAAUGUUCUCACCAUCAAAGUUUGAUGAAAGCCCUUCUGAUCAUGGUCCUGACACUUCAAAACUUGACAAGGAUGGGGUGACUUCAAAACUUGACAAGGAUGGGGUGACUUCUAUCACAGAACCUGAGGUUACAACUGGAAAAUGCCUUUUCCCAGAAGAAGCAUUUACUUUUACCGUGGAAAAUGAUAACAAAACCAAUCAAGUAUCCUCAAUGAAUUCCCAGGAAAAGCUAGAUUCUUUACGUGUCACAUUCGACAUAGUCUGUGGUAUCUCUGGAUCAACCAAGAAUUCACUAAUCACUAAACAGGAACUCUUUCACAAUAUUCUUGCUAAUAACUUGGAGAUAGAAGAGACAGGAGAGAUAGAAGAACAGUUGCAUAUCUUAGAAGAUCUCUCUCCUGAUUGGAUAUCAAAGGAGCUACGUGGUGGAGAAAUUCUUUACAGCAUUAAGCAAAUACCAGAUCAGAAGUCAGUUCGGGAAAGACUCACAGAAGUCAUUUGA